rnacentral:ncRNA from 1 species
UUGGAGCUUUUUCUUAUGUAGCAACAGGAUGCUAAGGUGAGUUCAGAAAACUGUGGAGCAGAAGAGCAAAUACUUGUUUGAUCUUGGUUUUCCAUGCAAAUACAGACAGUGAGAAGUGAGGCCUCGUGAUCUUUCUGACUUUUCAGGUUUUAAGCAGAAA